CAAUGUGACAGUAGUUCUCGGAACCAAUGACCUCCGCAAAAUUGACGAGAGCACAAUGAGAUACAACGUCAAAAAAUGCAAACACACAGACUAUAAGAAGCCUUUAAAUGGGAAUGACAUAAUGAUGCUAAAACUGUCAAGGCCAUCAAAAAUAAAACCAAUUAAACUUCCAAAUAAGAAGAUGAAGAUCAAGAAGAACACCACAUGCCUUGUAGCCGGAUGGGGUUUUAUCAAAAGUGGGGGCUCUUCUGUUGAUAAACUCAGACAGGUCGAUGUGGCUACAAUUGACCGGAGGACUUGUCAGCGGGAAUGGUCUAAAAAAAACUAUGUUCUCCCAGCAAACAUUAUCUGUGCAGGUGGAUAUGGGACAGAGAAAGGGGCUUGUCAGGCGGACUCUGGAGGUCCUCUGGUGUGCAACAAGAUGG